GUGCCAGCAGCCGCGGUAAUACGUAUGGAGCGAGCGUUGUCCGGAAUUAUUGGGCGUAAAGGGUACGCAGGCAGUUUAAUAAGUCGAAUGUUAAAGAUCGGGGCUCAACCCCGUAAAGCAUUGGAAACUGAUAAACUUGAGUAGUGGAGAGGAAAGUGGAAUUCCUAGUGUAGUGGUGAAAUACGUAGAUAUUAGGAGGAAUACCAGUAGCGAAGGCGACUUUCUGGACACAAACUGACGCUGAGGUACUAAAGCGUGGGGAGCAAACAGGAUUAGAUAC
rnacentral:rRNA from 1 species